rnacentral:rRNA from 1 species
GACAACGCUGGCGGCGUGCCUAACACAUGCAAGUCGAACGGAGAGGACAUGAAGUAUUUCGGUACGGAAUGCUCUCUUAGUGGCGAACGGGUGAGUAACACGUGGGCAACCUGCCCCAGACUGGGGGAUAACAUUGUGAAAACAGUGCUAAUACCGCAUGACAGGGUUCCGGGCAUCCGGGACCCUUGAAAGGAGAAAUCCGGUCAGGGAUGGGCCCGCGUCCAAUUAGCUAGUUGGCGGGGUAACGGCCCACCAAGGCGACGAUUGGUAGCCGAACUGAGAGGUUGAUCGGCCACAUUGGGACUGAGACACGGCCCAGACUCCUACGGGAGGCAGCAGUGGGGAAUAUUGGGCAAUGGGCGAAAGCCUGACCCAGCGACGCCGCGUGAAGGAUGAAGGUCUUCGGAUUGUAAACUUCUUUGAUCAGGGAAGAAAGAAAUGACGGUACCUGAAAAACAAGCCACGGCUAACUACGUG